UGGGCUGUGGCUCAGCGGCAGAGCACUCAACUAACAUGUGCGAGGCCCUGGGUUCAGUCCUCAGCACCACAU
rnacentral:tRNA from 1 species